UCACUGUGAUGAUGUUUUUUCCAGCCAUUCGUAGUUUCCACCAGAGGUUGAAAAACCAAAGAUGGCUAAAACCUUCCUUGGAUGUCUGAGUGA
ensembl:snoRNA SNORD14 Small nucleolar RNA SNORD14